CAGCAGCCGCGGUAAUACGUAGGGCGCAAGCGUUAUCCGGAAUUAUUGGGCGUAAAGAGCUCGUAGGCGGUUUGUCGCGUCUGCCGUGAAAGUCCGGGGCUCAACCCCGGAUCUGCGGUGGGUACGGGCAGACUAGAGUGAUGUAGGGGAGACUGGAAUUCCUGGUGUAGCGGUGAAAUGCGCAGAUAUCAGGAGGAACACCGAUGGCGAAGGCAGGUCUCUGGGCAUUAACUGACGCUGAGGAGCGAAAGCAUGGGGAGCAAACAGGAUUAGAUACCCCGGUAGUCCCUGUCUCUUAUAC
rnacentral:rRNA from 1 species